rnacentral:lncRNA from 1 species
GUGUUGACCUAAUCGUCAAAGUGGUUUGGUCCCUGAUUUGAUCAGGGGUUGGGCUUAGUCAAUUUUUGAUUUGAUUAAGAUUUUAUUAAGUCUAAUUAAGUCUAAUUAAGUUGGGUUUAAUUUAGUCUAAUUGUGCUUAACCUAUUUUGAUUAGGUUGGUUCAAUUAUGAUCAAACCACCUUUUGAAUUCAACUCCCUGUGCCACCUC